GCUGGCGGCACGCCUAACACAUGCAAGUCGAACGAAGUAGCAAUACUUAGUGGCAGACGGGUGAGUAACAUGUAGGUAUCUACCCUAUGGCCUGGAAUAACACGAGGAAACUUGUGCUAAUACUGGAUAAGUCUUUACGGAGAAAGCUUUAUGCACCAUUGGAUGAGCCUGCACUUGAUUAGUUUGUUGGUGGGGUAAUGGCCUACCAAGACUUUGAUCAAUAGCUGAUUUGAGAGGAUGAUCAGCCACAUUGGGACUGAGACACGGCCCAAACUCCUACGGGAGGCAGCAGUGGGGAAUCUUGCACAAUGGAGGAAACUCUGAUGCAGCGAUGCCGCGUGAGUGAAGAAGGCCCUUGGGUUGUAAAGCUCUUUCGUCGGGGAAGAAAAUGACUGUACCCGAAUAAGAAGGUCCGGCUAACUUCGUGCCAGCAGCCGCGGUAAUACGAAGGGACCUAGCGUAGUUCGGAAUUACUGGGCUUAAAGAGUUCGUAGGUGGUUGAAAAAGUUGGUGGUGAAAUCCCAGAGCUUAACUCUGGAACUGCCAUCAAAACUUUUCAGCUAGAGUAUGAUAGAGGAAAGCAGAAUUUCUAGUGUAGAGGUGAAAUUCGUAGAUAUUAGAAAGAAUACCAAUUGCGAAGGCAGCUUUCUGGAUCAUUACUGACACUGAGGAACGAAAGCAUGGGUAGCGAAGAGGAUUAGAUACCCUCGUAGUCCAUGCCGUAAACGAUGUGUGUUAGACGUUGGAAAUUUAUUUUCAGUGUCGCAGUGAAAGCGAUAAACACACCGCCUGGGGAGUACGACC
rnacentral:rRNA from 1 species